rnacentral:rRNA from 1 species
CCUACGGGUGGCAGCAGUGAGGAAUAUUGGUCAAUGGGCGCAAGCCUGAACCAGCCAAGUAGCGUGAGGGAUGAAGGCCCUAUGGAUCGUAAACCUCUUUUAUAAGGGAAUAAAGUGUAGGAUGUAUCCUAUUUUGUAUGUACCUUAUGAAUAAGGAUCGGCGAACUCCGUGCCAGCAGCCGCGGUAAUACGGAGGAUCCGAGCGUUAUCCGGCUUUAUUGGGUUUAAAGGGUGCGUAGGCGGCCUUUUAAGUCAGAUGUGAAAGUCUGUGGCUCAACCAUAGAAUUGCAGUUGAAACUGGGGGGCUUGAGUAUGUUUGAGGCAGGCGGAAUGCGUGGUGUAGCGGUGAAAUGCUUAGAGAUCACGCAGAACCCCGAUUGCGAAGGCAGCCUGCCAAGCCAUGACUGACGCUGAUGCGCGAAAGCGUGGGGAUCAAACAGGAUUAGAUACCCGAGUAGUC